UUCGCCCUUAGAGUUUGAUCCUGGCUCAGGACGAACGCUGGCGGCGUGCUUAACACAUGCAAGUCGAACGAGGUGAGGGAAGGAGCUUGCUUCUGACCUGACCGAGUGGCGGACGGGUGAGUAACGCGUGAACAAUCUGUCUCAUACAGGGGGAUAACGCACCGAAAGGCGUGCUAAUACCGCAUAAGACCACAGCACCGCAUGAUGCAGAGGUCAAAGGAGCGAUCCGGCAUGAGGUGAGUUCGCGUCCGAUUAGAUAGUUGGUGAGGUAACGGCCCACCAAGUCAACGAUCGGUAGCCGACCUGAGAGGGUGAUCGGCCACAUUGGAACUGAGACACGGUCCAGACUCCUACGGGAGGCAGCAGUGGGGAAUAUUGGGCAAUGGGCGCAAGCCUGACCCAGCAACGCCGCGUGAGGGAAGAAGGUUUUCGGAUUGUAAACCUCUGUCCUUGAUGAAAAGUAGAAGAUGGUAAUCGAGGAGGAAGCCCCGGCUAACUACGUGCCAGCAGCCGCGGUAAUACGUAGGGGGCGAGCGUUGUCCGGAAUGAUUGGGCGUAAAGGGCGUGUAGGCGGCUUGGUAAGUCUGGAGUGAAAGUCCUGCUUUCAAGGUGGGAAUUGCUUUGGAUACUGUCGAGCUUGAGUGCAGGAGAGGUUAUCGGAAUUCCCGGUGUAGCGGUGAAAUGCGUAGAGAUCGGGAGGAACACCAGUGGCGAAGGCGGGUAACUGGACUGCAACUGACGCUGAGGCGCGAAAGUGUGGGGAGCAAACAGGAUUAGAUACCCUGGUAGUCCACACUGUAAACGAUGAAUGCUAGGUGUAGGAGGUAUCGACCCCUUCUGUGCCGGAGUCAACACAAUAAGCAUUCCGCCUGGGGAGUACGGCCGCAAGGUUGAAACUCAAAGGAAUUGACGGGGGCCCGCACAAGCAGCGGAGCAUGUGGAUUAAUUCGAAGCAACGCGAAGAACCUUACCAGGGCUUGACAUCCUACUAACGAAGUAGAGAUACAUCAGGUGCCCUUCGGGGAAAGUAGAGACAGGUGGUGCAUGGUUGUCGUCAGCUCGUGUCGUGAGAUGUUGGGUUAAGUCCCGCAACGAGCGCAACCCCUAUUGUUAGUUGCUACGCAAGAGCACUCUAGCGAGACUGCCGUUGACAAAACGGAGGAAGGUGGGGACGACGUCAAAUCAUCAUGCCCCUUAUGUCCUGGGCUACACACGUAAUACAAUGGCGGUCAACAGAGGGAUGCAAAACCGUGAGGUGGAGCGAACCCCUAAAAGCCGUCCCAGUUCAGAUUGUGGGCUGCAACCCGCCCACAUGAAGUCGGAAUCGCUAGUAAUCGCGGAUCAGCAUGCCGCGGUGAAUACGUUCCCGGGCCUUGCACACACCGCCCGUCA
rnacentral:rRNA from 1 species